GUUUCGGGGCGGAGUGAAAGUCUCCACCGGCGGUAAAGUCCGCGAACACGCCAUGCGUGCCGAACCGGUGAAACUCCGGUACCGACGGUUACAGUCCGGAUGAAAGAAA
rnacentral:ncRNA from 1 species